GAUGAACGCUAGCGGCAGGCCUAAUACAUGCAAGUCGAACGGUGUCUUCGGACAUAGUGGCGCACGGGUGCGUAACGCGUGGGAACGUGCCCUUUGCUACGGAAUAGCCCCGGGAAACUGGGAGUAAUACCGUAUGUGCCCUUCGGGGGAAAGAUUUAUCGGCAAAGGAUCGGCCCGCGUUGGAUUAGGUAGUUGGUGGGGUAAUGGCCUACCAAGCCGACGAUCCAUAGCUGGUUUGAGAGGGUGAUCAGCCACACUGGGACUGAGACACGGCCCAGACUCCUACGGGAGGCAGCAGUGGGGAAUCUUAGACAAUGGGCGGAAGCCUGAUCUAGCCAUGCCGCGUGAUCGAUGAAGGCCUUAGGGUUGUAAAGAUCUUUCAGGUGGGAAGAUAAUGACUGUACCACCAGAAGAAGCCCCGGCUAACUCCGUGCCAGCCGCCGCCGUAACAC
rnacentral:rRNA from 1 species